GGCAUCUAGGAAACUAAGGGAAGAAUUAAUGGACCAAAACAUCCAGAGAGCCCAGUGCAUCCCAGACGAACCUAUUGGUAUUGUCAAUUCUUUGGGCAUCUCUAGAGGGAGCAGCAGAUUCGGGACGUAAGGGAGACAAAGACCGAGUAAAUAGAUGACAUUCUUGUCUUUGGUGAAUUUUGGUAAUGAAACUAAAGAGAACGGAGCAUGUUCACUGAUCAGGAAGACUGAGCUUAAAGUUGUAUACAUUGGAAAUGCUAAAUGAAGAAUUAAAUAUCCUAAGGGAUAUUUAAUUGGCAAGUGAGAAAGGUCAAGGUGUGAUUAUGCCAACGGGUGGCUAAGGGCAAGUCAAACAAAAAUUUUUUGAGCACUGGCAGUCAAGAGUGUGUGUGGAGUAGUUACUCCUCCAGGAAGUUGUCAUUCUGGCGUCUGUUGACUCCUUGUGGAGACUGCUACAGGGGAAGCCUGCAGAGCCUGAGCGGACACCACUCAGGACAGAAGUUCUUUUCCUCACUUGACAGAAGAUUUGCACAGGACAAACCAGGCUGACAGAGGACAAGUCAGCCAGAUGUUGAGGGUGUGACUAUGCUCCUGACGUCAGUCUCUGGCCAAAGAUGAACACAGAUGCAUUCACCAAUACAGAAAAGGUCAAGCACAUCUUUCAGAACGAGCAGGCAGUAUCCCUCUGUCCCCGACGUUCAUACAAGGUAUGCUGUCCUGCUUGGGCCUGGUGGCCUCUACCAAAUCCAAGGACUCUAGCUCAACGCCCAACAGACCAAUUGUCCAACUUAUGAAGUCAGGACCACAACGGGCCCCAUGGUUGGCAGGUUCAAGCAAAGUGUCAAGGAGUAAAUAAGGCACGGAAAAUAGCUAAUCUCUUCAUCCCAGGAAGCUGAGUUAAGGGAUGGGAAAUGCUGGCAAAAAGAGCAGUGGAAAAACUGACACCAACUAUGCUUGGACUGUGGCUGCCUUGUUAACGGAGAAUGGACCUUCUAUGGGGCUCAAUGGGA